CGGACGGGUGAGUAAUGUCUGGGGAACUGCCCGAUGGAGGGGGAUAACUACUGGAAACGGUAGCUAAUACCGCAUAACGUCGCAAGACCAAAGAGGGGGACCUUAGGGCCUCUUGCCAUCGGAUGUGCCCAGAUGGGAUUAGCUAGUAGGUGGGGUAACGGCUCACCUAGGCGACGAUCCCUAGCUGGUCUGAGAGGAUGAUCAGCCACACUGGGACUGAGACACGGCCCAG
rnacentral:rRNA from 1 species